rnacentral:rRNA from 1 species
AGAGUUUGAUCCUGGCUCAGGAUGAACGCUAGCGACAGGCCUAACACAUGCAAGUCGAGGGGCAUCGGGGCGAGGAGCAAUCCUUGCCGCCGGCGACCGGCGCACGGGUGAGUAACGCGCAUGCGACCUGCCCGUUGCAGGGGGAUAAUCGGGAGAAAUCCCGUCUAAUACCGCGUAACGCCGCGGGGCUGCAUGGCCCUGCGGCCAAAGGAAGCGAUUCCGGCAACGGAUGGGCAUGCGUGACAUUAGCUAGUUGGCGGGGCAACGGCCCACCAAGGCGACGAUGUCUAGGGGUUCUGAGAGGAAGGUCCCCCACACUGGUACUGAGACACGGACCAGACUCCUACGGGAGGCAGCAGUGAGGAAUAUUGGUCAAUGGGCGCGAGCCUGAACCAGCCAAGUCGCGUGAGGGAUGACGGCCCUACGGGUUGUAAACCUCUUUUGUCGGGGAGCAAAUUCCGCCACGCGUGGCGGAGUCGAGAGUACCCGAAGAAAAAGCAUCGGCUAACUCCGUGCCAGCAGCCGCGGUAAUACGGAGGAUGCGAGCGUUAUCCGGAUUUAUUGGGUUUAAAGGGUGCGCAGGCGGUCUGUUAAGUCAGCGGUCAAAGCCCGGGGCUCAACCCCGGCCCGCCGUUGAAACUGGCAGUCUCGAGUUGGAGAGAAGUAUGCGGAAUGCGCGGUGUAGCGGUGAAAUGCAUAGAUAUCGCGCAGAACUCCGAUUGCGAAGGCAGCAUGCCGGCUCCACACUGACGCUGAGGCACGAAAGCGUGGGUAUCGAACAGGAUUAGAUACCCUGGUAGUCCACGCAGUAAACGAUGAAUGCUGGCUGUCCGGGGGGAUUGACCCCCUGGGUGGCAAAGGGAAAGCGAUAAGCAUUUCCACCCUGGGGGAGUACGCCGGCAAACGGGUGAAAACUCAAAGGAAUUGACGGGGGCCCGCACAAGGGGAGGGAACAUGUGGUUUAAUUCGAUGAUACGCGAGGAACCUUACCCGGGCUCAAACGGGGAGUGACUCAGGCAGAGACGCCUGUUUCCCACGGGACACUCCCCGAGGUGCUGCAUGGUUGUCGUCAGCUCGUGCCGUGAGGUGUCGGCUUAAGUGCCAUAACGAGCGCAACCCUCGCGUGCAGUUGCUAACAGAUAACGCUGAGGACUCUACACGGACUGCCGGCGCAAGCCGCGAGGAAGGCGGGGAUGACGUCAAAUCAGCACGGCCCUUACGUCCGGGGCGACACACGUGUUACAAUGGGUGGUACAGCGGGAAGCCAGGCGGCGACGCCGAGCGGAACCCGAAAUCCACUCUCAGUUCGGAUCGGAGUCUGCAACCCGACUCCGUGAAGCUGGAUUCGCUAGUAAUCGCGCAUCAGCCAUGGCGCGGUGAAUACGUUCCCGGGCCUUGCACACACCGCCCGUCA